AUAAAGCAGAAAUAGAUGUUUUUCUGAAACUCUCUUGUUUUUCUAUGAUCCAACAGAUGUUGGCAAUUUGAUCUCUGAUUCCUCUGCCUCUUCUAAAUCUAGCUUAAAUAUCUGGAAGUACUUGGUUACAUGUUGUUGAAACCUGGUGUGGAUAAUUUUGAGCAUUACUUUGCUAGCAUAAAUCUUUAAUCCAUUUU